rnacentral:rRNA from 1 species
UACGUAGGGGGCAAGCGUUGUCCGGAUUUAUUGGGCGUAAAGGGCGCGUAGGCGGGCCAGCAAGUCAGGGGUGAAAGCCCACGGCUCAACCGUGGAAGUGCCUCUGAUACUGUUGGCCUCGAGGGAGGUAGGGGCGUGCGGAACUUCCGGUGGAGCGGUGAAAUGCGUAGAUAUCGGAAGGAACAUCGGUGGCGAAAGCGGCGCGCUGGACCUCUACUGACGCUGAGGCGCGAAAGCCAGGGGAGCAAACGGG